rnacentral:tRNA from 1 species
GCUGCUUUAGCUCAGUUGGUAGAGCACAUCCUUGGUAAGGAUGAGGUCGCCGGUUCAAAUCCGGCAAGCAGCU